AUUUGGACUGCAGAAAACUUCAGGGAAAUUGAGAAUCACCAGUGCCUUUCAGCUUUCCUUUGCAUGAGCUGGGUUAUAAUUCUCAAUGGCAUCCUUUAGUUUCUGGAGCUUUGCGAGAGAGCAAGAAAAGGAAUCCAGCAGACCAUCAGCCCCUCUAUAGAAGUGGAAAUAUGGAAGGACUUUUACAUUUAAGCUUUUGCAUAAAGACUUGUUCUCAUCAAAGUUCACCUUAAUGAAAAGAAUCUCUGGGUGUUUUUCCGCAAUCAUGCAGACCUUGGGGAACAAUGCACGACAAGAGGCACACCAUGUGCCAUAGAAUUCAACAAUCACUAAUUUAUCACCAGCUUGACUUAAAGCAUCUAAAAAUUCUUGAGUUGAAUGAAUGUCAAUCAUAUUUGAGGCAUUCUUUUCCCACCAUUUUGGUUGAUCAGUUUCAGCAGCAGUAGCAUGUACCUUGAAACAAAGCACAGGCUUGUUGCGAGCAUAAUCAAAAGGAUUAACAACACGAGAAUCAACAACCCUUUUGCCCCAUGAGUUCAAUUUAGCAGUUUUAAAGGGAAUUGAAGAGUAGGUGGUGUUUGAAGGAAAAAUGGAAAAGGGGGAAAAAGAAGUAACUCGAAGUGAAAACACAGAGUAGCCCUGCAUACUCCGUCUCUCUUUUUCACAUCACAACAAGAAGAAGAUGAACAGAGAGUGAAGUAGACAAGUAGUUGAAGCUGGAGCUUUAUGCCACGAUGAUUGUUG
rnacentral:misc_RNA from 1 species